CCAACACCCCAACAACAGAUAACUCCCCCUCAACCCAGCCCCUUCAUGUCUCUCACCCAUGAAACCCUAGAAGAUUUCUUCCUCACCUCUCACCUCAACCCCUUCUUCACUUCUCUCACCCUUGAAACCCUCGAUCUCGCUCUCAAACUCCAUACGAUGUGUUGAGCUUCUAUUGCAAACUCCAUACGUCGAACACCAACGCUCAAUCCGUACAAAUCUGCCUCCUCACAUCACGGAUGCCAUGGAUUCUCUGAUGAGGGGAAGGACUAUUCUUGUCAUAGUACACAUGCUUUCAACAGUCAAAAGUGCAAACUGUGUUGCUGUUAUAUCAGAUGGUCAGAUAGCUGAAAGCGGUACCUACAAGGAGCUACUCAGCCAGGAUGGAAUAUACACUGUAUUAGUAAGGAGACAAUUACAAGGCCCAAUUACUGCACUUUAGUUUAAAAUUAUAGAUAAAACUACAUGAAGUAGGAAUGAAUCAAAAUAAUAGGUGAGGUCAAAUUGUUUGAAAUUCCAAUGUUGGCUUCUCCUGCAUGCCUGUUGUGUAGAUCGUGUAGAUGAAGUUCUUGGUCUCAAAUUAUUAUCAAGUCCUCUUCCUACCUAUCGUGCUAGUUUGAAAUGUAAAGAGAUUGUUCG